UGUUGUCCUUCAACAAGUUCUUACUUGCAGA
rnacentral:piRNA from 1 species